rnacentral:rRNA from 1 species
CGGGAGGCAGCAGUGGGGAAUUUUGGACAAUGGGCGAAAGCCUGAUCCAGCAAUGCCGCGUGUGUGAAGAAGGCCUUCGGGUUGUAAAGCACUUUUGUCCGGAAAGAAAACCUCCGCCCUAAUAUGGUGGGGGGAUGACGGUACCGGAAGAAUAAGCACCGGCUAACUACGUGCCAGCAGCCGCGGUAAUACGUAGGGUGCAAGCGUUAAUCGGAAUUACUGGGCGUAAAGCGUGCGCAGGCGGUCCGCUAAGACAGAUGUGAAAUCCCCGGGCUUAACCUGGGAACUGCAUUUGUGACUGGCGGGCUAGAGUAUGGCAGAGGGGGGUAGAAUUCCACGUGUAGCAGUGAAAUGCGUAGAGAUGUGGAGGAAUACCGAUGGCGAAGGCAGCCCCCUGGGCCAAUACUGACGCUCAUGCACGAAAGCGUGGGGAGCAAACAGGAUUAGAUACCCUGGUAGUCCACGCCCUAAACGAUGUCAACUAGUUGUUGGGGAUUCAUUUCCUUAGUAACGUAGCUAACGCGUGAAGUUGACCGCCUGGGGAGUACGGUCGCAAGAUUAAAACUCAAAGGAAUUGACGGGGACCCGCACAAGCGGUGGAUGAUGUGGAUUAAUUCGAUGCAACGCGAAAAACCUUACCUACCCUUGACAUGUAUGGAACCCUGCUGAGAGGUGGGGGUGCCCGAAAGGGAGCCAUAACACAGGUGCUGCAUGG